GGCGCACGGGUGCGUAACGCGUAUGCAACCUACCCCUUACAGUGGGAUAGCCCAGAGAAAUUUGGAUUAAUACCGCAUAGUAUACAGAUUCAGCAUUGGGACUGUAUUAAACAUUUAUGGGUAAGAGAUGGGCAUGCGUUCUAUUAGUUAGUUGGAGUGGUAACGGCACCCCAAGACAGCGAUAGAUAGGGGCCCUGAGAGGGGGAUCCCCCACACUGGUACUGAGACACGGACCAGACUCCUACGGGAGGCAGCAGUAGGGAAUAUUGGACAAUGGGCGAAAGCCUGAUCCAGCCAUGCCGCGUGCAGGAUGACGGCCCUAUGGGUUGUAAACUGCUUUUUANAUGGGAAGAAACACUCCGACGUGUCGGAGCUUGACGGUACCAUACGAAUAAGGAUCGGCUAACUCCGUG
rnacentral:rRNA from 1 species